UCGUCACACUAUCAUUAACUGAAUCCAUAGGUUAAUGAGGCGAACCGGGGGAACUGAAACAUCUAAGUACCCCGAGGAAAAGAAAUCAACCGAGAUUCCCCCAGUAGCGGCGAGCGAACGGGGAGGAGCCCAGAGCCUGAAUCAGCAUGUGUGUUAGUGGAAGCGUCUGGAAAGGCGCGCGAUACAGGGUGACAGCCCCGUACACAAAAGCGCAUGUGCUGUGAGCUCGAUGAGUAGGGCGGGACACGUGGUAUCCUGUCUGAAUAUGGGGGGACCAUCCUCCAAGGCUAAAUACUCCUGACUGACCGAUAGUGAACCAGUACCGUGAGGGAAAGGCGAAAAGAACCCCGGCGAGGGGAGUGAAAAAGAACCUGAAACCGUGUACGUACAAGCAGUGGGAGCCCCACCACCAAAGCAUUUGCUGUACCGCGUUGACGGAGCGAAGCGACGUCAAACCGAUAAAACAGCAGUGUAAAGUGAGCCGCAGGGCGCUUUGCGCGACAGCGCAAAGGCAGGCGGUUUCGCGUAGCGAAAGCGAAUGCUUUGGGGUGGGGUGACUGCGUACCUUUUGUAUAAUGGGUCAGCGACUUAUAUUCUGUAGCAAGGUUAACCGAAUAGGGGAGCCGGAGGGAAACCGAGUCUUAAUUGGGCGUUAAGUUGCAGGGUAUAGACCCGAAACCCGGUGAUCUAGCCAUGGGCAGGUUGAAGGUUGGGUAACACUAACUGGAGGACCGAACCGACUAAUGUUGAAAAAUUAGCGGAUGACCUGUGGCUGGGGGUGAAAGGCCAAUCAAACCGGGAGAUAGCUGGUUCUCCCCGAAAGCUAUUUAGGUAGCGCCUCGUGAAUUCAUCUCCGGGGGUAGAGCACUGUUUCGGCUAGGGGGCCAUCCCGGCUUACCAACCCGAUGCAAACUGCGAAUACCGGAGAAUGUUAUCACGGGAGACACACGGCGGGUGCUAACGUCCGUCGUGAAGAGGGAAACAACCCAGACCGCCAGCUAAGGUCCCAAAGUCAUGGUUAAGUGGGAAACGAUGUGGGAAGGCCCAGACAGCCAGGAUGUUGGCUUAGAAGCAGCCAUCAUUUAAAGAAAGCGUAAUAGCUCACUGGUCGAGUCGGCCUGCGCGGAAGAUGUAACGGGGCUAAACCAUGCACCGAAGCUGCGGCAGCGACACUGUGUGUUGUUGGGUAGGGGAGCGUUCUGUAAGCCUGCGAAGGUGGCCUGUGAGGGUUGCUGGAGGUAUCAGAAGUGCGAAUGCUGACAUAAGUAACGAUAAAGCGGGUGAAAAGCCCGCUCGCCGGAAGACCAAGGGUUCCUGUCCAACGUUAAUCGGGGCAGGGUGAGUCGACCCCUAAGGCGAGGCCGAAAGGCGUAGUCGAUGGGAAACGGGUUAAUAUUCCCGUACUUGGUGUUACUGCGAAGGGGGGACGGAGAAGGCUAUGUUGGCCGGGCGACGGUUGUCCCGGUUUAAGCGUGUAGGUGUGUGUUCCAGGUAAAUCCGGUUCACUUUAACACUGAGGCGUGACGACGAGGCACUACGGUGCUGAAGCAACAAAUGCCCUGCUUCCAGGAAAAGCCUCUAAGCAUCAGGUAACAUCAAAUCGUACCCCAAACCGACACAGGUGGUCAGGUAGAGAAUACCAAGGCGCUUGAGAGAACUCGGGUGAAGGAACUAGGCAAAAUGGUGCCGUAACUUCGGGAGAAGGCACGCUGACACGUAGGUGAAGUGAUUUACUCAUGGAGCUGAAGUCAGUCGAAGAUACCAGCUGGCUGCAACUGUUUAUUAAAAACACAGCACUGUGCAAACACGAAAGUGGACGUAUACGGUGUGACGCCUGCCCGGUGCCGGAAGGUUAAUUGAUGGGGUCAGCGCAAGCGAAGCUCCUGAUCGAAGCCCCGGUAAACGGCGGCCGUAACUAUAACGGUCCUAAGGUAGCGAAAUUCCUUGUCGGGUAAGUUCCGACCUGCACGAAUGGCGUAAUGAUGGCCAGGCUGUCUCCACCCGAGACUCAGUGAAAUUGAACUCGCUGUGAAGAUGCAGUGUACCCGCGGCAAGACGGAAAGACCCCGUGAACCUUUACUAUAGCUUGACACUGAACAUUGAGCCUUGAUGUGUAGGAUAGGUGGGAGGCUUUGAAGUGUGGACGCCAGUCUGCAUGGAGCCGACCUUGAAAUACCACCCUUUAAUGUUUGAUGUUCUAACGUGGACCCGUUACCCGGGUUGCGGACAGUGUCUGGUGGGUAGUUUGACUGGGGCGGUCUCCUCCUAAAGAGUAACGGAGGAGCACGAAGGUUGGCUAAUCCUGGUCGGACAUCAGGAGGUUAGUGCAAUGGCAUAAGCCAGCUUGACUGCGAGCGUGACGGCGCGAGCAGGUGCGAAAGCAGGUCAUAGUGAUCCGGUGGUUCUGAAUGGAAGGGCCAUCGCUCAACGGAUAAAAGGUACUCCGGGGAUAACAGGCUGAUACCGCCCAAGAGUUCAUAUCGACGGCGGUGUUUGGCACCUCGAUGUCGGCUCAUCACAUCCUGGGGCUGAAGUAGGUCCCAAGGGUAUGGCUGUUCGCCAUUUAAAGUGGUACGCGAGCUGGGUUUAGAACGUCGUGAGACAGUUCGGUCCCUAUCUGCCGUGGGCGCUGGAGAACUGAGGGGGGCUGCUCCUAGUACGAGAGGACCGGAGUGGACGCAUCACUGGUGUUCGGGUUGUCAUGCCAAUGGCACUGCCCGGUAGCUAAAUGCGGAAGAGAUAAGUGCUGAAAGCAUCUAAGCACGAAACUUGCCCCGAG
rnacentral:rRNA from 1 species